rnacentral:tRNA from 1 species
GCCGGAAUAGCUCAGUUCGGAGAGCGUAAGACUGAAAUUGUUUAAGCAACAAUCAUUUAAAGGCCCCCGGUUCAAUCCCGGGUUACGGCA